AUAGGCUGGUGCUUGUGGACAGAGAAGAUGUGGUUCGGGGAAUAAUCUCUCUCUCAGACCUGCUGCAGGCCAUAGUUUUAUCUCCAGCAGGUAUUGAUGCCCUGUUUUCCUAGCCUGAGAGGAGAUGUUUUCUCCUGUUACCUCAUCUAACCAGCACUAGUAUCCAGGUAUUCACAACCAGUGAGCAGUAACUGAAAACACUUAUAUGCAAUGCUAAUGACAGAAAAUUGCUGAUGACUAGAGUUCUCCCUGCAUGUUUGUGCAUGUGCGUGACCUGUUUGUUGGUUGUAUGAGUAUUUGAAUGUUUGAGAAUACACUGGUGGGUCAGGGACCUUUAACCCCAGUGUGUUUGGGAGCACAGCCACUGUCCUGUCCUGUCCCCUCUGUGCUGAUAUUGUUGCUGUACUUCAGAGUAGGAAUACCAUGGUAUUAUCUAGUUCAGAAAAGCAUGGUAAUACCAUGCUACUUUCUGUAAGUGUAUUCUCUUAUCCUGUUUCAGGUUUUUAAAGCAGAUAAAGUAUGACUGCAAGCAAGAAUGAGGAAAGGAGCUCUUUUUUACAUUAUACACUCAUAUUGUAAAAUAUGUUCAGUUUGGAUUACGUAAAGUGUAUAAUAUAUUAAGCAACACAUUUCUCAUUUAACCGAGAGAUUGUUUGUGAUAAAUGAGUACUGACAAAAGGAAACUUGCAUUUUGUUUUCAUGUAGAAGUGAGCACAUGGGCUUGGAUUCUGAUCAAAUUGAUCAUCUAGUUUGCCUUUUUGUGCUAUGUUAUGAAAUGUAUUGUCAGAUUAUCAUGUUUUGUUUUAAUAAACAAUUCCUUGUGCUCUU